rnacentral:rRNA from 1 species
UACGUAGGGGGCGAGCGUUGUCCGGAUUUAUUGGGCGUAAAGAGCUCGUAGGCGGUUGGGUAAGUCGGGUGUGAAAACUCAGGGCUCAACUCUGAGACGCCACUCGAUACUGCCCUGACUCGAGUCCGGUAGGGGAGCGUGGAAUUCCCGGUGUAGCGGUGAAAUGCGCAGAUAUCGGGAAGAACACCCGUGGCGAAGGCGGUUCUCUGGGACGGUACUGACGCUGAGACGCGAAAGCGUGGGGAGCGAACAGG